UACCUUAGCAUAAAAUUAUCGUAUUGUUGGAUUUUUCACAAAAAUCAAAACGGCCGAAAUGGAAAGUCUAUACCUCUACUUAUCAUAUUUGGCACUUUUGUUUGAGUGGUUCUUGACCUUGCGUGUUUAUGCGAGCGGAUUGUUAUGGCUGCUUGGCAUUUCACAUUGCGCUUCUAAGACUAACUUCCUUUGAGGUAAAACGCACAAACAUUUCGAGCCGAUGUCGACACAUCGUGGUCGUCGACUACAAGAAAGUCGUCAUAUUCUGUAAGAACGUCGUCAAUAGUCUAAAAUUAUAAAGUUGUCUUCAAUUUGAUGCUACACUUGUGGGUUCCACAGAGUAUUCAAAAAUCGUGGGUACAGCAUCCUUCUUAAGGCGAAGCCGUCCUGCUGUCCAUCCUACUGAUUGCAUCGCUUCAAAAUUUUGCACGAAGCACGAACUCUCGAAAUGUUGCGAGAACAAUUUUGAGCUCAUUGUUGGCUUCCAAUUUUUGCGUCUGAUUUGUUCAAUCCAAAUAUCUCCCAUGCGCUUGUUUUCGGGAAACGAAAAAAAAAGAAACCUUUUGCUGCGUUUGGUGGUUCUUA